AAAGAAAAUAGAAUUGGGAACUUAGGGUUACCAAUGUGACGUUCCCAAUUCUCUUCUCCUUCCUCUCGCUCGCCGCCGCGAACAAAGCGUGUUCAACCUCUCUCGACUCAGCCGAACGGCGUGACGGAUAACCCUCCCUCUCCGAUCAAAUCACCGGCCGCCGUGGAUAGAGAACACGCAACCAUCGUCAUCAUCUCGUCUUUCGAAGUCUCUCCGAUUCAAAUCGUUCAUCUGGAGCGCAGCGUGAAGAUUGUCGAGGACAACCAGAGGAGAGUUCUUCAACUUCUUCUUGAUUCUUUCUUGGCUUCGUCGCUUGUGAGUCGUCACGGUAUUGAAAUUGCGGGGCUGUCGAGGGCGAAUAAUCACAAAGCCGGUAUAGGAAUCGAUCGAAAACGACUCUUCUGGAGAUCGAAUUCGCGAAAUGGCGUGAGAGCGAGCAAAUUACGAAGAAGAGCUUUGAACCACUGAAGACUUGAAUCCGAUUCGAGCUCGUUACAGGAAGCAGCAUGCUUUGGUGUGGGACUCUUUCCUCAUCGAAAGACAGCUCAAUUUCCAGGAUGAAGCAAUGCAAAGUGACCAUGAAGGGAUAAUGAUUCAAGCACAAGCAAUCCAAUCUGACCAUUAGGAGCUUUCCACCGGCUGGCACAAUGAGAAAGAAGGAAGUUUAUCAAAUGGAAGAUUUCUAUUGCAGGUGUGGAAGUUCUUGUAGAGGGUGGUGGGUGUGGAGCUUAAACAGCAUGGGGAUUAGUUUAUGAUUUGUUUUUGUGUAAUUUUGUAAUGGAUUUGGAUUUGUAUUGUGACUGUAAUCUCUUAGACUUAGAACUUUUGUAAUUCACUGAAUCAGUAACUUCUGCCCAUUUGAAUGCAUCUUCCCCCGUAAGGAAAUUCAAUCUUCAAUUCUCAAA